rnacentral:rRNA from 1 species
GACGAACGCUGGCGGCGUGCUUAACACAUGCAAGUCGAACGAAGCUAUGGAACGGAAGCCUUCGGGUGGAAGAUCUGUAGACUUAGUGGCGGACGGGUGAGUAACGCGUGGGCAACCUGCCCUGAAGAGGGGGACAACAGCUGGAAACGGCUGCUAAUACCGCAUAAGACCACGGAGUCACAUGGCUCUGAGGUAAAAGGAAUUCAUUUCACUUCAGGAUGGGCCCGCGUCCCAUUAGAUAGUUGGUGAGGUAACGGCUCACCAAGUCGACGAUGGGUAGCCGACCUGAGAGGGUGAUCGGCCACACUGGAACUGAGACACGGUCCAGACUCCUACGGGAGGCAGCAGUGGGGAAUAUUGGGCAAUGGGCGAAAGCCUGACCCAGCAACGCCGCGUGAGGGAAGAAGGCCUUCGGGUUGUAAACCUCUGUCCUUGGGGACGAAAAAAAUGACGGUACCCAAGGAGGAAGCUCCGGCUAACUACGUGCCAGCCGCCGCAGUAACAC